UUUACAAAAAUAUUUUCCCAUUCUAGGUCAAAGAGGACGACCACUCCUGGUAGAGGAGGACCGUUCUUUGGUCAAAGGUAUAGGAGUAGCUUCGCUCCCCUGCUAGAACCUCCAAAUAAGCUCUCAAGGUCCACAAUUGAUUUUUUUACAUAAUUUUUUUCAAGUUUCUUUCUUUCUUUUAUGAGAGAGAAAAAUACAAGCACCUUCAAAAGGGUUUCAUGCUGUAAUGCUCCUCCACAA
rnacentral:snRNA from 1 species